rnacentral:rRNA from 1 species
UACGGAGGAUGCGAGCGUUAUCCGGAUUUAUUGGGUUUAAAGGGUGCGUAGGCGGAUUUUUAAGUCAGCGGUAAAAUGUCCGGGCUCAACCCGGGCCGGCCGUUGAAACUGCAUCCCUUGAGUGCGCGAGAAGUAUGCGGAAUGCGUGGUGUAGCGGUGAAAUGCAUAGAUAUCACGCAGAACUCCGAUUGCGAAGGCAGCAUACCGGCGCGCAACUGACGCUCAUGCACGAAAGCGUGGGUAUCGAACAGG